CUGCUGGUGAAGGUGAGGAUUUCCACGUGGAAACAUUCUGAUGAAAUUCACAUAUGCAGAGGUCAAGUUCAAGAGUAGGAUCUGGUUCUAGUGUCAGAAGAAGCAACUGAAUGAGACCUCUGAGAGCCCUCAGGAGCAAACAAGCAAAAGUACCCACUGAGCCCCUGGAACUCACUUCCUUCUUUCUUGCUGCCACUAGUGGUUGUAGUCCUUGUUUCUGAUCUGCGCCAACCAGAUUCAAACAUAGAACCUCUCUGAGUUCCACCAAAGGAAUCCAUUCACGCAAAAGCUUUUCACACUAUCUGGAUUUCACUGAGAAUUUGGCAAG